rnacentral:rRNA from 1 species
UACGGGGGGGGGCAAGCGUUGUUCGGAAUUACUGGGCGUAAAGGGCUCGUAGGCGGCCAACUAAGUCAGACGUGAAAUCCCCUACGGGCUUAACCGGGGAACUGCGUCUGAUACUGGAUGGCUUGAGUUUGGGAGAGGGAGUGCGGAAUUCCAGGUGUAGCGGUGAAAUGCGUAGAUAUCUGGAGGAACACCGGUGGCGAAGGCGGCAAUCCUGGACCAACACUGACGACUGAGGUGAGCGAAAAGCCAGGGGGAGCCAAAGCGGG